AGUUUCUUAGUGUAGUGGUUUAUCACGUCUCCUUUACACCCAAGUGCGGAGAAGGUCAUGGGUUCGAUCCCCAUAGAAACUA
rnacentral:tRNA from 1 species